rnacentral:lncRNA from 1 species
GAGCUGAGCUGCCCCAUGAGUGUGAAAGGCACCUCAAGCCGUUGCAUUUCCUCCAGUGCAGUUCAGCAUGGACUUGCCUUGGCCCCAGCCUGCGCAUGUGGGAAUUGCUAUACGAAACUCCAUCUCCUCCCCGCCAAGGCACGUUGAAUCUUUGGCAGCUCAUGAGCGGCCGGCAGACCACAAGUUCAGAAACACCCGUCUCGUCCUCUCCUCCUAACAGCAGCUGGAUCCAAGACUGAAGAGUUUUAGGUGGAGACGAGAAUCAGUCAGG